rnacentral:lncRNA from 1 species
CUCUCUCCCUGUAUAAUCUGUUGUCUCUCUCCCUGUAUAAUCUGUUGUCUCUCUCCCUGUAAAUCUGUUGUCUCUCUCCCUUAAUCUGUGGUCUCUCUUUUUGUAUAAUCUGGUGUCUCUCUCCCUGUAUAAUCUGUUGUCUCUCUCCCUGUAUAAUCUGUUCUCUCUCUCCCUGAUAUCUGCUUCUCUCUCUCCUGUAUAAUCUGGGUCUCUCUCUCCUGUAUAAUCUGGUGUCUCUCUCCUGUAUAUCGUUUUCUCUCUCUCCCUGAUAAUCUGUGUCUCUCUCCCUGUAUAAUCUGGUGUCUCUCUCCCUGUUAAUCUGUUGUCUCUCUUCCUGAAUAUAUACUAAACAACUGUGUCCUCAUGAUGACGCACUGGAAACCUCUGUUCGCGAGAAAUGUUUGUUUUUUUUGUAAUAAAAAAACUCAAAUGUUGUGCUGUUUCUAUCACGCAGGAGUUUCCAGGUUGGAGGUGGGGAGGAGGGGGAGGACUGUUUCUAUCACUGUGGAGUGUUCCAGGCUGGAGGGGGAGGGAGGAGGGGGAGACUGUUUCUAUCACUGUAGAGUGUUCCAGGCUAGGAGGGAGGGGGGAGGAGGGGGGAGACUGUUUCUAUCACUGCAGGAGUGUUCCAGGCUGGAGGGGGAGGGAGGAGGUGGAGACUGUUUCUAUCACUGCAGGAGUGUUCCAGGCUGGAGGGGGAG